AUCUUUUGAGUAUGAGUAGUACGUUUGCCUUCCAAGCAAAAAGUUUAAAUUAUUUAAAAAAGAUA
rnacentral:tRNA from 1 species